UACGUAGGGGGCAAGCGUUGUCCGGAAUCAUUGGGCGUAAAGCGCGCGUAGGCGGCUCGGUAAGUCCGCUCUGAAAGUCCAGGGCUCAACCCUGGGAUGCGGGUGGAUACUGCCGGGCUCGAGUCCGGAAGAGGCGAGUGGAAUUCCCGGUGUAGCGGUGAAAUGCGCAGAUAUCGGGAGGAACACCAAUGGCGAAGGCAGCUCGCUGGGACGUGACUGACGCUGAGACGCGAAAGCGUGGGGAGCAAACAGG
rnacentral:rRNA from 1 species